rnacentral:rRNA from 1 species
UAGUUAUAUGCUUGUUUCAAGGAUUAAGCCAUGCAAGUGUAAGAAUAACUCAGUUGACAGGAAGUCUGUGUACGGCUCAUUAAAUCAGCAAUAAUCUACCUCGUACAGAGGGACUUGUCCUUCCAUUCGGAUAACCGUUCGAAAUGAACGGCUAAUACGUGUACGAGAAACAGUUCGAUUGCCCAACAAACUAUGGGAAACCAUGGUCUGUUAUCGAGCUGUGCAGUUUGCCGGUACAAAAACCAACGCCAGCAAUGGCAGUGUGAGAUUGAGGAUACAGGCAAACCGAUCGAAAGCACACAUUGGGUGCGAAACGAGACGAAUUUCUGCUUUAUCAGCUAUUGAUUGUUGGGUAGUGGCCAACAAUGGCUUUGACGGAUAACGGAGGAUCAGGGUUCGAUUCCGGAGAGGGAGCCUGAGAGACGGCUACCACGACUAAGGUUGGCAGCAGGCGCGCAAAUUGCCCAAUGUUAACACGAAUGAGGCAGCGACGAAAAAUAGCAACUCUGCACAACAACGUUGUGUGGAGCUUGCAAUGGAUGAUAUUUAAACACAUCAGUGAGUAUCAAUU